UGGUGGGAUCAUACCAGCACUAAUGCACCGGAUCCCAUCAGAACUCCGCAGUUAAGCGUGCUUGGGCGAGAGUAG
rnacentral:rRNA from 1 species